rnacentral:rRNA from 1 species
UUGAGAGUUUGAUCCUGGCUCAGAACGAACGCUGGCGGCAGGCCUAACACAUGCAAGUCGAACGGUAACAGGUCUUCGGAUGCUGACGAGUGGCGAACGGGUGAGUAAUACAUCGGAACGUGCCCGAUCGUGGGGGAUAACGAAGCGAAAGCUUUGCUAAUACCGCAUACGAUCUACGGAUGAAAGCAGGGGACCGCAAGGCCUUGCGCGAACGGAGCGGCCGAUGGCAGAUUAGGUAGUUGGUGGG